CAGCUCCAACCGGGAGUGCAUCAGCCCCACCACCGUCAUGUUCCGGAGUACCGUCCCUGACCGCGCCAUGUUCCCCACCGCCUACACCUAUGACAGGGUGUUUGGCCCCAAUUGCUCUACCAGACAGGUCUACGAGGAAGGAGCAAAAGAAGUUGCUCUAUCAGUUGUCAGUGGAAUCAACUCAAGCAUAUUUG